UUGAGGCUUGUGGAAGCUUCUUAUUAACAAUAGAAAAAUUUGCAUUAUAUGCCAUUUUCCCUUCCCUCGAGUUGAAGUUUUCAUAAAAAUACCACCUACAUCUAACCCUAAGAUUCAAUCUAGGAAAAUUCAAUAUGGAAGAUAUAAAAAAUCAUGUAAACAGAUACUAUCACAUUAAGGAAAUAAUAAUGGAAUUGGAGGAAUUAUGAUCUUCAGUGGACAGUCUCAUAAUCAGAAACAGUUGCGUACUUGCAUCUACCUGGCAAGGAGCGAUUGAAUAUGAUGUCCUAUCCUGUUGGCAACGUCAAGGAGAGGGUAUAAGUAUUCGACUUAGGUGUCAAAAAGGUCGGAAUCAUGGUAUCAUGGCACCUACACAAGUACACAAUAAUUCAAGCCUUAUGGAGGAAAAUUACAUCACAGAGUAAAAGCAUCAUCUCAUUCAACUUAAAAAAGAAAACAAUUGCACGUAUCCUAUAUCCUAUACAACUGAAUAUGGAUACUAUUGAAGGAUGUCGUACCUAGUUGACUCGGAGAGGAAAUAAUUGAAAUCAUAGAGCAACUCUCACAAACUGAAAUGGGUGAUGUGCUUCAUAGCAGUCGAUGGCAGAUAACGCAAAUAAACUGAAGAGAAGAUAUUUUGAGAAAUGUUGUGUUUUUCUUGUAUAUGUUCAAGCUCUUGAUGAGAAGAUGCUGCAAAGUCAAAGGGGCGGCAUCUGUGGCAAGAGCAUGGAGUGACUAUGUGGAUUUACUUUUCGACGGCGUCAUCAGCAACACAACAAUUAUCCAAGAAGCUUACCUUAUUUUCAAAUUCGAUAGUAUCUGUCAUUUGUCAUAUUGUCAAACUUGGGGAAUCUUAUAUUUCGUUCAUAUAUUUUAAUUUCCAAAUCUAUAAAAAAAUUUACUGACAAUGUU